rnacentral:rRNA from 1 species
AGCAGCCGCGGUAAUUCCAGCUCCAAUAGCGUAUAUUAAAGUUGUUGCAGUUAAAAAGCUCGUAGUUGAAUUUCGGGGUUCUACCGUUGGUCGGGCAAUUGUCUGUACUGGCGUGUGGAAUUUCUACCUUCUGGGGAACCAUCAUGUUAUUAAUUUAGCGUGGUGGGAAACCAGGACCUUUACCUUGAAAAAAUUAGAGUGUUCAAAGCAGGCUUACGUCUGAAUACAUUAGCAUGGAAUAAUAAAAUAGGACGGUGGUCCUGUUUUGUUGGUUUCUGAAUCACCGUAAUGAUUAAUAGGGAUAGUUGGGGGCAUUAGUAUUCAAUUGUCAGAGGUGAAAUUCUUGGAUUUAUUGAAGACUAACUUCUGCGAAAGCAUUUGCCAAGGAUGUUUUCAUUAAUCAAGAACGAAAGUUAGGGGAUCGAAGACGAUCAGAUACCGUCGUAGUCUUAACCAUAAACUAUGCCGACUAGGGGAUCGGACGAUGUUAAUU